rnacentral:rRNA from 1 species
GAUGAACGCUAGCGGCAGGCUUAACACAUGCAAGUCGAGGGGCAGCGCGGGGCGGCAACGUCCUGGCGGCGACCGGCGGAAGGGUGCGUAACGCGUGAGCGACAUGCCCGUUGCCCGGGGACAACCGGUGGAAACGCCGACUAAUCCCCGAUGGGACGGAGGCCCUCAUGGGUCUCUGUUGAAAAUUACGGCGGCGACGGAUUGGCUCGCGUCCGAUUAGCUUGUUGGCGGGGUAACGGCCCACCAAGGCUACGAUCGGUAGGGGUUCUGAGAGGAAGGUCCCCCACAAUGGAACUGAGACACGGUCCAUACUCCUACGGGAGGCAGCAGUGAGGAAUAUUGGUCAAUGGGCGGAAGCCUGAACCAGCCAUGCCGCGUGCGGGAAGGAGGCCCUAUGGGCUGUGAACCGCUUUUGCCUGGGGGCAAUAAGGGCGUCGCGCACGUCCGAUGAGAGUACCAGGGGAAUAAGCAUCGGCUAACUCCGUGCCAGCAGCCGCGGUAAUACGGGGGAUGCGAGCGUUAUCCGGAUUCAUUGGGUUUAAAGGGUGCGUAGGCUGUGCGUCAAGUCAGGGGUGAAAUUCCGGGGCUCAACUCCGGGGCUGCCCUUGAUACUGUCGCGCUGGAGUGCGGAUGCCGCCGGAGGAAUGAGUGGUGUAGCGGUGAAAUGCUUAGAUAUCACUCAGAACACCGAUUGCGAAGGCAUCUGGCGAAUCCGUAACUGACGCUGAGGCACGAAAGCGUGGGGAUAGAACAGGAUUAGAUACCCUGGUAUUCCACGCCGUAAACGAUGAUGGCUAACCGCCGGCGACAUACUGUCGGUGGCCAAGCGAAAGCGAUAAGCCAUCCACCUGGGGAGUACGUCGGCAACGAUGCAACUCAAAGGAAUUGACGG